rnacentral:tRNA from 1 species
GGGGCCGUGGCACAGUGGUAGAACUUCUGCUUGGCAUGCAGAAGGCCCCAGGUUCAAUCCCCGCCCUCUCCA